UACAGAGGUCCCGAGCGUUGUUCGGAUUUACUGGGCGUAAAGGGUGCGUAGGUGGCGAGGAAAGUCGGAUGUGAAAGCUCGGAGCUCAACUCCGAAAUGGCAUUGGAAACUACCUUGCUCGAGGGUUGGAGGGGGGACUGGAAUUCUCGGUGUAGCAGUGAAAUGCGUAGAUAUCGAGAGGAACCCCAGUGGCGAAGGCGAGUCCCUGGACAACUCCUGACACUGAGGCACGAAAGCUAGGGGAGCAAACAGG
rnacentral:rRNA from 1 species